ACUGAUGUGCCACUGCUUUCAUGAAACCGAGUCAAGACUAAACCGAGCCAGGAUAACUGGAAAACCCCAUCUUAAUCCCCUAUCUGGAUUUGUUUUAAAC